AUGACAGAGCUGCUAAGUGGACCCCUGCCUCUGGAGGUGUAGGACAGAAAAACCUCAUUAACUUUUUUUGUGCGUCUCCGUUUCCCCCCUCAGAGAACGCCCCAGCCUUCUCUGUUGAGUGAUUAGAUGUGCAAUGAAGAAAAAUUUCUGUACAUAUGUAACGUAGUCAGAGCCCAGCGGGACCGUCGCCCGGGGAAAUGCAAAUGAUCUCGUUUUUCUGUGGGUCAAUAACUCAGCCAUGACAUGAAUGAUUUAUGCUUGGCCUGAUCUGAAAACGUUGGUCCAGGCUCGUCCUCCAUCUUCUCUGCUGCUGAUUUUGUUUUUCCCAACAACGUGCAAGUGGUCUGACUGAGAAAAGUAUUUACCCCUAAAAGGUUUUCUUCUUCUAGCUAAAUGUUUCAAAGUGUGACAAAAAUCAAAAACAGACCAAAACAUUUUUUGUUUUUAUCUCUUAUUGCCUCAGUUUGUCUUAAAGUUUUUCCUUAUUGUUUUUAAGCUUUUCUCUGAAAAUGUAUCUUGUCUCAAUUAAAAGAUAUGUUGUAGCUUCUGUGGCUGUAAGAUUUGAAACUGAAUUCAUGAACCAAUCAGUGGAGCUUUUGCUCAGCACAUCUAGAAAAAACGGGGAUCUAAAACUGAACCUUAUUUAUGUUACAAAAUCCAACAAUUGAACCUGAGAUGUUCUGCUUCUAACGUUUUAUCACAUCCAACCCAUAAAAUUCAGUCUGUUGCACUGAGAUUAGACCAACACAAGAUGGUGCAUAGUUAUGUAA